AGGACGAACGCUGGCGGCGUGCUUAACACAUGCAAGUCGAGCGGAAAGGCCCUUCGGGGUACUCGAGCGGCGAACGGGUGAGUAACACGUGAGCAACCUGCCCUUAGCUCCGGGAUAGCUCCGGGAAACCGGAAUUAAUACCGGAUACGACCACGGCCGACAUCUGCUGUGGUGGAAAGGAUUCCGGCUAAGGAUGGGCUCGCGGCCUAUCAGCUAGUUGGUGGAGUAACGGCCCACCAAGGCGACGACGGGUAGCCGGCCUGAGAGGGCGACCGGCCACACUGGGACUGAGACACGGCCCAGACUCCUACGGGAGGCAGCAGUGGGGAAUAUUGCGCAAUGGGCGAAAGCCUGACGCAGCGACGCCGCGUGGGGGAUGAAGGCCUUCGGGUUGUAAACCCGUUUCAGCAGGGACGAAGCGAAAGUGACGGUACCUGCAGAAGAAGCGCCGGCUAACUACGUGCCAGCAGCCGC
rnacentral:rRNA from 1 species